AGUGAACGCUGGCGGUAGGCCUAACACAUGCAAGUCGAACGGCAGCACAGUAAGAGCUUGCUCUUACGGGUGGCGAGUGGCGGACGGGUGAGGAAUACAUCGGAAUCUACUUUUUCGUGGGGGAUAACGUAGGGAAACUGACGCUAAUACCGCAUACGACCUACGGGUGAAAGCAGGGGAUCUUCGGACCUUGCGCGAUUGAAUGAGCCGAUGUCGGAUUAGCUAGUUGGUGGGGUAAAGGCCCACCAAGGCGACGAUCCGUAGCUGGGCUGAGAGGAUGAUCAGCCACACUGGAACUGAGACACGGUCCAGACUCCUACGGGAGGCAGCAGUAGGGAAUAUUGGACAAUGGGCGCAAGCCUGAUCCAGCCAUACCGCGUGGGUGAAGAAGGCCUUCGGGUUGUAAAGCCCUUUUGUUGGGAAAGAAAAGCAGCAGGUGAAUACCCCGCUGUUCUGACGGUACCCAAAGAAUAAGCACCGGCUAACUUCGUG
rnacentral:rRNA from 1 species